UUACGAAUGGGAUGAAUCUGGUUAAACUAAAGGUUAAACUCAAACAAAAUAAUAUGGUUGUGGCUGCUAAAAACCACACACCAGAGUAUACUGACACUGUUUUUGUAGAGCAGCAGAACAGUCAUAUCAACCAACUCCUGUUUGAUGUGAGAAAGACCAAAUUGAGGCUCAGUCUCCUCCCUUUCCUUCCCUCUCACAUGCUCAUUUUCUCGCUUCUAUUUUACUGGAUUUAGGUUACAAUGUGAGCAGACAAAAAGGCUCAUUUGAUGCCAGUGCAGACACAGACAGCAUUUCCAGUGUUUGUGGGGGAGCAAAACUAAUCAUGGGUUUGGUAACCACAACUGCCUGGGCCUGAGUGCAAGCACCACCCCUCUGGCAGCAACGACAAGCAUUGACCCGACGGUUGGCAGGAGGAGCUCUGUUGUUGACAGGGAUCUAGUCUCAGAUCUCUCAUUAAGACCAGUCAUGCCUGAGAUUAGAUAAACAGCAAGCACAGACAGUACAUCCUGGUAACAGCAUUACUCUAACCCUAACACUGUGAAGGAGCUCCCCUAUUGGUAAAAACAUGAAAUCAACUACGGUUCAUCAUAAAAACUCUUACGUCCCUAAACUCGCGCUUCAAAGCUAAUAUCCACAUUUCAUGUUUGUCUUAUAAUUCCAAACAGGAGCACACAUCAAAAAUACAUGCAUUGGAAAAGAUUUGGUUUAAUGAUUUGUGCUUUGUGCAAGGUCAUUAUCAGUCCUGAAAGCAGGAUGCGUAUUGUUUCAGUGUGCGUUUGAGCUCUUGCCUUGCUCUUUUCAUUGGGCAGUGCAGAGUACAACUGGCUGACAAGGAGAUUGGGUGACAUGAAGUGUUUGGUGGCCUGCUGGCCCCGUGAGAAGGCGAAGGAGGGGGGUCAGUGGUGUAGUCUCCUCCCCUGUGAUUCAUCUAUGUGAUCUUGCAGAGGAUUUCACUGCUCAUCUGUGCCCUGUCUUAAAUCUGAGCCUCCUCUACUGAGCCAUGCAGGCUGACAGCAUCAUCAUCUCCUUCCAGCAUCAACUCUGUCUCUGGGUUCUGGUUGGCCAUGGCUUGGCUGCGGAAGGCUUUCCUGGAUUUGACCACCUCAUCCUCCUCCGUGCCUGGGAAAAGUGGGGAAGAGGGUAGAGCCAAACCACUGAAUACCUCACUCUGAAGUUUGGAUGUGGUAUUCUGGUGUUUGACUGGGACCUGUGAUAUUCGAGACCAUGUGGUCAGUGUGAAGCCGGAUUUGGACCGUGCCAAUGUGCCGUACUGAAGGAACUUCUUCUCUGAGGGUGGUCCAGAGGGAGGACUGCACUCCCAAAGAAGAUCCAGAGCUGGGGGCUACUGAGCUCAUACACGUAGCUACAAAGCAACUUCUCGGGUGGCAUCCGGCUACCAAGCAGCACGGCCAUAUCCAAAGUGAUGAUAAAGAAUAAUAAAAACGUUUGUA